CCUACGGGGGCUGCAGUGGGGAAUAUUGGACAAUGGGCGAAAGCCUGAUCCAGCCAUGCCGCGUGUGUGAAGAAGGCCUUCGGGUUGUAAAGCACUUUCAGUGGGGAAGAAAGCCUUGGGGCUAAUACCCUCGAGGAAGGACAUCACCCACAGAAGAAGCACCGGCUAACUCCGUGCCAGCAGCCGCGGUAAUACGGAGGGUGCGAGCGUUAAUCGGAAUUACUGGGCGUAAAGCGCGCGUAGGCGGUCUGAUAAGCCGGUUGUGAAAGCCCCGGGCUCAACCUGGGAACGGCAUCCGGAACUGUCAGGCUAGAGGGCAGGAGAGGAAGGUAGAAUUCCCGGUGUAGCGGUGAAAUGCGUAGAGAUCGGGAGGAAUACCAGUGGCGAAGGCGGCCUUCUGGACUGACACUGACGCUGAGGUGCGAAAGCGUGGGUAGCAAACAGGAUUAGAUACCCGAGUAGUC
rnacentral:rRNA from 1 species